rnacentral:lncRNA from 1 species
UUUUAAUGGGAUUGUUUUUUUCUUGUAAAUUUGCUUAAGUUCCUUGUGGAUUCUGGAUAUUAGUCCUUUGUGAGAUAGAUAGAUUGCAAAAAUUUUCUCCCAUUCUGUAGGUUGUCUGUUCAACUCUGAUGAUAAUUUCGUUUGCUGUGCAGAAGCUCUUUAGUUAGAUCCAAUUUUUCAAUUUUAAAAAAAGGUUUUAUUAAGGUUUUUCAAGUUUUUAGAAAUGUAGCCUAUCCUAGGAUUUGUUUCUACCUAUUUUUUUUAUUUUGUUUGAUACAUGGUUAGGUUUAUAAUUGGAAUGUAAGUUUUCCUAGAUGUCUUGUUUUCCUGGUUAUGGCCCAAGAUCAAUUCUUGCUCCAAAGCAUUUGUGCUGAAGAAUGGCAGAGUACCUGAUUUAUUUAGUCUCAAACAAUUUCACUGCCUGCUAUGUUCAAGACCCGGUAGGUUUAAUGCUCUGUAGUAGCUAUAAUGUAAAUGUACCAUGAAGAAAUGCUAUUUUCUUCUACUUAUUCUUCAUUUCAAACUAUUGUCUUAUACUAGUGCUAAGCAUUAUCUGUUUGUGAUUUGCUGAAAAACAAAUUCUUUGUCAAAGAAAUACUUUCCUUAAAAAUGAGAAAGCAAUCUUAAGUCUCAUAAAUCUAAUCCAGGAUCCUUCUAUCAUAAACUUAACUGUCUUGAUUUUUACUGAGAUUAGCCAAAAUCAGAGCCAAAAAAUUCCCCCUUGCACUAAUUUGUUACCCUUACAUUGACAUUAAAGGUUUGGCAUUUAAUUCUCCAUCUUGAUCUUGAACUAAAUUUCCUGAGAACUGUAAUUGUUACAAGCCUUGCCACUCAGGCAUGUCAUGAAGACUCACUUCUGCCAAAAUAGUUAUAGCUAUUAAAUUCCUCUGUGAUAACUUUUUUGUUUUCCUAACUCUAAAUUAAGAUUUGGCACACAGUAAGACAACACAAUCUAACAAAAAAGAAUCUGGAUGUUAGAUUUAAAUAGAUUUGAAUUUAAAUUCAGGCUGUGCUGGUUACCAACUAGGUAACUUUAGGCAAAUUAUGCAAUCUGUGUGAUCCUCAGUUUCCUCUUCUGUAAAGUGAGGAUGUUACCUACUUCAUGGCAUUAUGUGAAGAUUUAAAGGGAUGACUUUAAAAGCGCCUAUAAAUUGUCUGGCACAUAAAAUAUUCAAUAAGUGGUAUUAUUCUUAAAAAAUAUUAUGAUCCUAUUGCCUUUGUCUGUCUUAUACUCUGAGUGAUACUAGUUGAACUACCUAAUGGCUGAGGGCCUG